CCUACGGGGGGCAGCAGUGAGGAAUAUUGGUCAAUGGACGAGAGUCUGAACCAGCCAAGUAGCGUGAAGGAUGACUGCCCUAUGGGUUGUAAACCUCUUUUGUCAGGGACCAACGCCGGCUACGUGUAGCCGGACUGAGAGUACCUGAAGAAAAAGCCCCGGCUAACUACGUGCCAGCAGCCGCGGUAAUACGUAGGGGGCAAGCGUUAUCCGGAUUUACUGGGUGUAAAGGGAGCGUAGACGGUGCGCCAAGUCUGGAGUGAAAUGCCGCAGCUUAACUGCGGAACUGCUUUGGAAACUGGCGAACUAGAGUGCGGGAGGGGUAAGCGGAAUUCCUAGUGUAGCGGUGAAAUGCGUAGAUAUUAGGAGGAACACCGGUGGCGAAGGCGGCUUACUGGACCGUAACUGACGUUGAGGCUCGAAAGCGUGGGGAGCAAACAGGAUUAGAUACCCGUGUAGUC
rnacentral:rRNA from 1 species